UUCUCUGCUUUGUUAGGAGAGGAGGGGAAAGGCACUGGCAGAGUGAGACUCGUCCUGCAUUAUUCACACACAGCUAGUCCAGGAGUACAGGGGGAGCUUUCAGACCUAACCCAGGCAACAUUGUGCUCAUUACUCUGAUCUCAUUUGGGAAAAUAACGCUGUUUGUUUGACAGUAUUUUCGAAAAUACUGGACUAUACGGACAAGCCUCUAUAAACAGCGUACAUCCCCAUCACCGCACCAGCGCUUGCAAAUGUGGAAGAUGACCUUUCACACUUAAUCUACACACAAGCAGACCACCACAAGUUGCUCUCCAGUUCUCCUCUCUGUUUACUGCCUGCUGAAAAGAGCCAAAAGUCAGAAAGCAUCUUGAAGCAGUUUUCUUGAAUCGAGGACAUGGCAACCAAGCAGAGGACAUGAAAAGCAAUCCAGCAGUCCUACUUUCUACUUUAAUUUCUUUAUGAGUUGAAGGCAAGAAGGAAUUCUUACUCCAUGGAAGAAGCAGCAGAUGAUUUAGCCACAAUGCAAACCAACCAAAAUCACCACUGAG